UAGAAGGACUUUUGGGGAUCAUUUUUAUAGUUCAUUACUAGAGAAGUUUCUCUGAACGUGCAGAGUACCCUAAACCAUGAGGAGGUACAGUGGUCUCUCCUGAGUGUGAAGCUGGCUUUUGGCGUUCCUUUUGCAAUUGCCAAUAGCUAUUGAUGAUCAUUCUUCUAUUCCUUUGGAAGAGUUAAAGGUAGAGAACAUAGUCUGAGUGGU